rnacentral:lncRNA from 1 species
AGGAAAGUUAAGAUGUAGACAGUUUCGUGUCAAGCAAAGACCCAAAAGAAUUGCCAUUUCUUGUAUUGGUUGUCUGGCGACCGUUAAAUGCAAUUUCUCAAAUCUUUAUUGUCGCUGACUUGCUUACCAGUACUUUUUCGAGUUAAGGGUGGAAUUGUGGAACUGAUGGCAUGAACUCACAUUCUGAUUUCGAGAGGAGGUCAAUUAAUGAAAUUAGGAAUGACAUAUACUAGUAAUAUGAACUGAAUAAAAUCUGAACUCAGUAGGAGAGGGCAAUUGCUCUUGCACUGUAUAUACAGUAGGUACAUGUAUCUUAUAUAGCUCAUUGCAGUAUUUGCAUCGGUUUGGUUCGAAUGUUGCAUCUUUACUCUGAGUGCAUGCGUACAACCAUGCAUGUAUUGUAGGUCAAAAUCAC